UUGGAAGUGAUGAGCCUUUCCCCAGAUGAUCGACUCUGAUUAUACUGAGCUUUAGAUUAUUUCUCUUCGGAGAAGGUUCAAGCCAGGAAUCUGAUCCAU
rnacentral:snoRNA from 1 species